GCCUGAACCAAAGUGUUUUAUUGGGUAUUUGUGUUCUGAAUCUCUAUUAAGUUCAUGGGAGAUUUGAAAACAAUGUGUUGUAAGAGUCUACCUAGUUUGAAGGUUUCAAAGAUGAUUAAUAGAUAGUAGUUGCUGCCCUGCAUCUUUCCUUAUUUUCCUAAGUGUUGGAUUUGAAUUUUGUCACAAAUGUAAUGUUCAAUAAGUAACCAGUAGCAGCAUACAAGUUGUUUGCUUUCUUGCAUUACCAGUCUUAGUUUGAUUAUGUUUUCCUUUUUGGAACUUAUGUUUACAUCCAUGUACAAAGACACCAUGCAUAUUUGCAGUUAUUUUAACUCAGUGUUUGUCUUUAUAUUGCAAGUAUAGAAUUGAGUUACAUGAGGGGGUCUUUGUUUGCUUAAAAAAAUGAUUAGCACACUUCUGACUUGUUUAAUAUUAAUAACUGGCAGUUUGUGGGAUUCCUAGAAUUCCUAAUAGGAAACCAUCUCAUUUGGGUAUUAACAAAGUGUUUUCCAGCUCUUCAUUAACUCAUGCAUAGUUUAGUAUAUAGUUUGGGGUUUAAAGGAUUUAACUCUACUGAUGUAUUUGGUUGUAAACUAGUUUAAGUAAAUCUGGAUAAUUGAUAAUAUAUUUGUCAUUAUAUGACUUUGUGUAUAAUGUUGCUGUAAUCAUACUUCCUGUAGAGUUUAGUUUGUUACUUGAAGUUAUAUUUCACGUUUCAGCUUUCUCUUUAUAUCGAAUUUCAAUCACUUUAUAUCUUCAUAUUAAGAUCUACUUCAUUUAUUAACUCUUUUCCUUUGUUGUGUUGCAUGACACCCGUAUGAGAGUCCACUGGACUCAACCCCUUUUUUUGGCACUAUCUCGGUUGGGCCGAAGACCCAACAUAAGAUUAGAUCGAGUCAGCCUCAUCCCAUUUCUAGCAGCAGCCACGGAUAGAAGGCUCAACAAUGGGUUAUCACUAUUUACGUUGAUGGGCUUGUGCACAAUUUGAGCCAGAGACGUCUUCCAGACCUCGCAUCUAGUUAAGGUCAUUCGUUACCAAGAUCAGAAGAUAAUAUCAUUAGAAGAUAUGUAUCCCAGGAAAAGAUGAGCCAAAUAUUGUAUCACUGCCAUGACAGACCAAUCAUAGGACAUUAUGCAGCCAACCAGACUGCUUUUAAAGUUUUGGAAGUGGGGUUUUUCUAGCCAACACUUUUCAAAAAUGCAUGUGUAUAGGACGUACGAUGUGAUAAGUGUCAAAGAAUAGGUAAUAUCACCAAGAAAGAUGAGAUGCCUUUGCAAUCAAUACAAGUAUGUGAAAUAUUUGAUGUGUGGGGAACAUAUUUUAUGGGUCCUUUUUCCACAUCUCAUUCUUUUGAAUAUAUCCUUGUGGUUGUGGAUUAUGUUUCAAGAUGGGUUGAAGAUAUUCCCACAAAGAAAAAUGAUGCUCGAACUGUGUGUAAUUUUCUCAGAAAAAAUGUUGUUACCAGAUUCUGCA